GUGUGAUUUAAAAUCGAUUCAAACGCACCUACUUUCGGACUUGAAAUUCCUCGGCACUUAUUCGAACGAGGCGGAAACGGAAAACGAUAAUAGUUUGCAGAUAUUAAAAUUGUUCACAAAGUUUUGCCUUCUAUUCGAUGUGUUGACGUAUCCCGAAGUUCUAGCGUUGUUCGAUACCCAGUCCCUGCAGGAAUUGAAUAACGAAGUUUUAUCGAUACUGCGCCAUUUCGUUUUCGCUACGGAACCUGGGUAUUUUGUCAAGC